rnacentral:rRNA from 1 species
AACGAACGCUGGCGGCAGGCUUAACACAUGCAAGUCGAACGCGUGCAGCAAUGCACGAGUGGCGCACGGGUGAGUAACGAGUGGAUAUCUGCCUUUUGGUUCGGAAUAACCCCGGGAAACUGGGGCUAAUACCGGAUGGUUCCUACGGGAUAAAGAUUUAUCGCCAAAAGAUGAGUCCGCGUCCGAUUAGCUAGUUGGUGAGGUAAUGGCUCACCAAGGCGACGAUCGGUAGCUGGUCUGAGAGGACGAUCAGCCACACUGGGACUGAGACACGGCCCAGACUCCUACGGGGGGCAGCAGUGGGGAAUAUUGGACAAUGGGGGCAACCCUGAUCCAGCCAUGCCGCGUGAGUGAUGAAGGCCUUCGGGUUGUAAAGCUCUUUUGGCGGGGACGAUGAUGACGGUACCCGCAGAAUAAGCCCCGGCUAACUUCGU